ensembl:lncRNA
GCGAUAAUGUUCCACUGGACACCCGACACGCACCAGGAAACCGCGUGCUGCACCCACCUCCCACCUCCCACCUUCGCCCGGUUACCAGCCGCUCGGUGAUUCCUUUAGUUACACCGUAAGAAAAGAACAAUUUGGAGGAAGGAAUGAAAAAAGAACACAAGCCCCGACCAACCUGUUCUACCACCGGGCUUCUUUCCAACUCCUGAGGUCGUUGUUGUAUUCCGUGUUCACUCAGCGCAGAAACAGAGGAUUAUUCCUGGAAACAUUCUUUUUUUUUUUUUCAAAGUUAUCAAGGCCGUCUGAUCAAGGAAAUGUCACCACAUUUUUCUUGGUGCAUUGCCGCCAGUGGAAGUGUGCGUUACCA